GUCGAGCGCCCCGCAAGGGGAGCGGCAGACGGGUGAGUAACGCGUGGGAACGUACCCUUUUCUACGGAAUAACGCAUGGAAACGUGUGCUAAUACCGUAUGUGCCCUUCGGGGGAAAGAUUUAUCGGAAAAGGAUCGGCCCGCGUUGGAUUAGCUAGUUGGUGGGGUAAAGGCCUACCAAGGCGACGAUCCAUAGCUGGUCUGAGAGGAUGAUCAGCCACAUUGGGACUGAGACACGGCCCAAACUCCUACGGGAGGCAGCAGUGGGGAAUAUUGGACAAUGGGCGCAAGCCUGAUCCAGCCAUGCCGCGUGUGUGAUGAAGGCCUUAGGGUUGUAAAGCACUUUCACCGGAGAAGAUAAUGACGGUAUCCGGAGAAGAAGCCCCGGCUAACUUCGUGCCAGCAGCCGCGGUAAUACGAAGGGGGCUAGCGUUGUUCGGAUUUACUGGGCGUAAAGCGCACGUAGGCGGAUCGAUCAGUCAGGGGUGAAAUCCCAGAGCUCAACUCUGGAACUGCCUUUGAUACUGUCGAUCUGGAGUAUGGAAGAGGUGAGUGGAAUUCCGAGUGUAGAGGUGAAAUUCGUAGAUAUUCGGAGGAACACCAGUGGCGAAGGCGGCUCACUGGUCCAUUACUGACGCUGAGGUGCG
rnacentral:rRNA from 1 species